rnacentral:rRNA from 1 species
AUUGAACGCUGGCGGCAGGCCUAACACAUGCAAGUCGAGCGUGCGGCGGCCGGGUUAGUAAUUUCUGGUAAACUGCCAGAUGGAGGGGGGUAACUACUGGAAACGGUAGCUAAUCCCGCAUCCCAUCAGAAGUUCACAGAUGGGAUUAGCUAGUCGGUUGGGUAACGCCUCACCUAGGCGACGAUCCCUAGCUGGUCUGAGAGGCUGACCAGACACACGGGAAUUGAGACACGGUCCAGACUCCUAAGGGAGGCAGCAGUGGGGAAUAUUGGACAGUGGGCGAAAGCCGGAUGCAGCCAGGCGGGGUGUGUGAAGAAGGCGUUCGGGUUGUAAAGCAUUUUGAGCGGGGAGGCGGUACCCGCAGAAGAAGCACCGGCUAACUCCGUGCCAGCAGCCGCGGUAAUUC